GCACUGCUGAUGAGUCCCAUAAUAGGACGAAACGGCCGUCCAGUGC
rfam:Schistosoma rodhaini strain Burundi genome assembly, scaffold: SROB_scaffold0006643